UACAGAGGGGGCAAGCGUUGUUCGGAAUUACUGGGCGUAAAGGGCGCGUAGGCGGCCUGCUAAGUCGAACGUGAAAUCCCCGAGCUCAACUCGGGAACUGCGUCCGAUACUGGCAGGCUUGAAUCCGGGAGAGGGAUGCGGAAUUCCAGGUGUAGCGGUGAAAUGCGUAGAUAUCUGGAGGAACACCCGUGGCGAAGGCGGCUCUCUGGGACGGUACUGACGCUGAGACGCGAAAGCGUGGGGAGCGAACAGG
rnacentral:rRNA from 1 species